AGUGAACGCUGGCGGUAGGCCUAACACAUGCAAGUCGAACGACAGCACAGUAAGAGCUUGCCCUUACGGGUGGCGAGUGGCGGACGGGUGAGGCAUACAUCGGAAUCUACUUUUUCGUGGGGGACAACGUAGGGAAACUUACGCUAAUACCGCAUAUGACCUACGGGUGAAAGCAGGAGAUCUUCGGACCUUGCGCGACUGAAUGAGCCGAUGUCGGAUUAGCUAGUUGGCGGGGUAAAGGCCCACCAAGGCGACGAUCCGUAGCUGAUCUGAGAGGAUGAUCAGCCACACUGGAACUGAGACACGGUCCAGACUCCUACGGGAGGCAGCAGUAGGGAAUAUUGGGCAAUGGGCGAAAGCCUGAUCGAGCCAUACCGCGUGAGUGAUGAAGGCCUUCGGGUUGUAAAGCCCUUUUGUUAGGGAAGAAAAACAGCAGAUUAAUCCCCCGAUGUUCUGACGGUACCCAAAGAAUAAGCACCGGCUAACUUCGUG
rnacentral:rRNA from 1 species